UACGUAGGGGGCGAGCGUUGUCCGGAAUUAUUGGGCGUAAAGCGUGCGCAGGCGGUCUCUUAAGUCUGAUGUGAAAGCCCACGGCUCAACCGUGGAGGGUCAUUGGAAACUGGGGGACUUGAGGGCAGGAGAGGAGAGCGGAAUUCCACGUGUAGCGGUGAAAUGCGUAGAGAUGUGGAGGAACACCAGUGGCGAAGGCGGCUCUCUGGCCUGCACCUGACGCUGAGGCGCGAAAGCGUGGGGAGCAAAC
rnacentral:rRNA from 1 species